GAUCCAUUUAUUGGUGCCCUGCUGUGAAUGAAUUUAGAUCUGGUGCAAGUUCCUCUUAAACAGAGGAGAGAAGAUCCAGAUGACUGUCUUAUCAGCCGAAGGUGGUGACUCUUGAGGGGCUGACUCAAAGUGUGAUGGUUCACAUCUUCCUGAAUUUUUAAAUAGUGUUGGACAAUCUGAGCAUGAUUAUUAGUCUUCCAGUCUCCAGAGGUGACUGACUCCGUCGAAUGUAUUAUUUACAGUAUAAUUAGUUUGCAAUUUUUGCUUAGGACAAGAUCGAUCACCCUUAUGCCUCUGGGGUUUUUCCUGUUCCAAUUAAUUCCCCACGACUGGCCAGUACAUCGAAGAUUAAGGUACAUUCUAUCCUGUCCACGGGAAAGCGCAUAUAAAAGAACUUUUGUUGCUUUACUAAUAGGAGUAACCUGUAUGGCGAUAGUUUCCUCUCUCUCUUUAUCUCGAUCAAAUGUUAAGACACCAAACUGUAGUAGUCUAAAAUGUGCUAUGGUGUCAUUAACCAAAUUCAUUUACUUUCCCUUCCAGUUAAAUAUAUACAUGAAAAUGUAUGAAAACACUGUCUGGACAAUUAAUUACAAGUAAUAUUUUCAGGUGGGAAAACAAGUCGGAGGUCAACCCUCUCUCUUUUCUUGCAUUUGGAGCUGGACCACGACAAUGCAUUGGAAUGAGGUUGGCAAUGUUGGAGGUGAAGGUUGCUCUCGUUGAAGUGCUCAAAAAGAUGAAGUUUGUUCGACUGGAUGACACACCGGAUUUCAUCACAUUCAAUAAAGACAGAGGAUUUGGAGACCUUAGUCCAGAAAAGCCUAUUCUGUUGAAAUUGGAACUGCACAAACCUUUUUGAAGACAAUUCCUUGAAGGACCCGGCAUUUGGGACACUGCAUGGUUUAAGACACUGCAUGGUUUAAAGUGUUGUUUUGACAAAUCACCAAAUACAAAUUGAUGUAGAAUAUGGCAAAUUAUUUCAGAUCACUUGAAAAGAGUUGGUGCCAUGCAGUAUUCACUAUCAGAAUAGUGAUAUAACAUAAUGCAUAAUUGCAUCACAGUGAAAACAGACAAAUUUAUUAAAUUGUAGCUGUGUUUAUGUUUUGCAUAACUUAGUAAGCAAUGUUACAGGAUGGAAAUGAAAGAUAGUGCAUUUGUUAACCAAUUGCUGUAAUGUAAAUUUCCAUCUUGAUAUGCAUGUACAUAUAGUAGGAUUCAGCUGUAAAUAAUUGUGAAAAAAUAUUUGAUACACUUUCCCAGAUAUUUUGAAUAUUAAAUAUUAACAAGAAUUGGUGAUCUGAUGUUUCUGAGCACUUUUUGCAACUAUACAAUGUAGAACUGUUUCACAUUAAACUAAUUUUAGAUUUCUUUAUAAACACUGUUUUCUUUAAAAAAUGAAGGCAUAUUUUUCACUAUUGGAGCCAUUUCUGAUAACCAAAAUCAUACCUUACUUAUAUUUUAUUAUUUAGAUUAUCCAUCGCAAAAUGCAUUUUUCAUAUUCUCAAAAAUUACACUCAUGCGUCCGAGAAGUAAUGGUUAUGGAGAUGAGCUCUGGUCUAUUUUUAAGGCUAUUUCACCAUUUCAACAUCACAGACUUUUGUUUCACUCUGUUGUAUAACUUUAUCCAAAUGUGUUACAGGUACAGGUAACUUAGUGUCCAUUUUAAGGGUUGAAGCUAGCGUCUGUGCCUUAUUGUGUUUUUUACAAUCUUUAUAUACUGUAAAGCAUAAAAUUAAUUGCAGGGGAACAAGAUAUUAAUGCUAAAGAUAUGACAGAUUGGAGCAAUAAUUACUUAACACAUUAAUCAGUAACAUCAGGAAUAAAAAAAAAUAAAAAAAAGACAAAAAAAUUAAUAAACGCCAAUACACGUGGCGUGCAUCUGUUGUUAUGUCAACAGAAAGUAAUAAUUUAAUCAACAAGAAAUAGCAAAACAAAUGCAUUCUGAACAAGUGAAAUGGACAGUCCACGAAUUGUUGUACACACUGCUCUACUAUAGAAUUAAAAUGUUAGCUCCACAUCUGGUCAUUUCUGUGGUGCUGUGCAUAAAGAGGUAGAGUAAUUUACCACCAACUAACAAAUCUGUCCUAAUUCAUGAUGAAUUAUUUUCCUGAUGUAGAGUAACAUAAAAAUCAAAAUCAGUUUAUUAUGCUAUUGAGUUAUUUCAUUCCCAACAAUAUUGUUAAGAAUUAACAAUUAUUUCAAUAAAAUUCUGUUUUCGAAUUGAAAUGUUUAACAGUUACUCCAUUCAAAAUCAAAGGGCUUCAAAUUAAACUAAUUUGUAUCUCUUUAUGUGAUAUUACCCCACAAAAAACAAAACAAACACACACACACACCCCACACCGCCACCACCCACAUGACUAUAAAAGCACCAGAUUAUUUGCUUUUGUCAGUUAUUCCACUCACAACCAGUCCGUUAAAUUAAAGUAAUUUAUAGAUCUUUACCAGGCAGGUAAUAAUAAUCUAUUCUGGUUUUGACAGUAGGUAGACCUCAGAACAAUGAAAUUCUGUGUAACCCGUGUGUUUCAGUUAAACAAUUUCAUUUUGUGUUGGUUCAUAAUGAACUUCAAUACAAAAUACAGAUAUCUUAUGUCAUGCGAACAGUGGUGUAACCAAAAUACAGAUAUCUUAUGUCAUGCGAAUUAACAGUGGUGUAACCAAAAUACAGAUAUCUUAUGUUGUGUGACCAGUGAAAGUAAGGAGCCUCCUCCCUUUCUGGCAGACACCGACUCCCCUUGAUAUGUUCAUGAACAUCAAAUCACUAAGCAUUUGCACUUCCCUUUUUCAAAAUGUAUAACUAAAUUUCUAUUGUUUAUUUUAUUAGAUGCAAUCAGUACCAUUUUAUAAAAAAAAAAAAAAACUACAUGUAUUAUAUUGUUUUGUAUCCAACCAUUUUAUACAGAGUGCAGUGUACAUGUAUAUGUAGUGUAGAAAAAUAACACUAUUAUAAAAAAAAAAAAUGUAUAUAGUUAUUAUAUCUUUAUUGUUAGAGUAAUUUAUUAUCAAUGCAUAUUUUUGAUGAGGUUUUUUUUAUAUUCAGAUAUUAAAAUGUACCCCCCCCC
rnacentral:lncRNA from 1 species